rnacentral:rRNA from 1 species
AAAUGGUACCGUAACUUCGGGAGAAGGUACGCUCUCGACGGUGAAGUCCCUCGCGGAUGGAGCUAUUGAGAGUCGCAGAUACCAGGUGGCUGCAACUGUUUAUUAAAAAACACUAGCACUGUGCAAAAUCGUAAGAUGACGUAUACGGUGUGACGCCUGUCCCGGUG